GACCCCAGCGCUGCUCUGCCCAGGGCGGCUCCGGGCGGCUGGGGCGCGGGCCGUACGUACCCAGGACCUCGGGGGCCUCGACGGCUCUCUCCCCGGCGAAGGUGUUGUAGCACUCCAGCGCCGCCAGCAGCAUGUCGGCCCACUGCAGCGCGGCGCGCAGGCUGAACGGGCCGGGCAGGUGCAGGAGCGUGGGCUGAGCGCGGAUGCCCGACGGCCGGGCGCAGCUCCCUCCGCCCCCCUCAAACGUGUGCAUGAGGAAGGAGAUGUCUUUGUUCUGGAGGACCUCUUUCAGCCACAAAGCAGGGAAUACAGAGGCCCAAGAAGAGUGGGGAACAGCCAGUCGGUGAAGCUGUCAGAACACAGACGACAUUUUAUCAGGACUCUUCUCCUGCUGCUGAGGCGUUGUCUGCUUAAUGGACCAUUUGAGGAACUCACGAACGCACCGACCACAAAAAUCUCUUAAAGUGCUGUCAACAGGGUCUACAAUCCCAUCCUGCAACAAAACGAUCCGAGAUGCCUUACUGAGGUUGAAUAAGAUUCUCCUAGGCUCCGAGGGAAUUGUAAUCCUACAGAAAAAUCACAUGGAGAUGUGGUCUGAAACUACAACUUUCUGUAAGAGCAGUCGCCAUGAAAGGCACAGUCGCUAAAUACCUGGAAAAAAAAAAACA